AAAGAAAGUAACUAAGGGCGUAUGGGGGAUGCCUAGGCUCUCAGAGGCGAAGAAGGACGUGAUAAGCUGCGAUAAGCUCCGGGUAGCUGCAAAUAAGCAUUGAUCCGGGGAUUUCCCAAUGGGGCAACCCCUCCGGUUGAAGGCCGGAGAUCCCGUUAUCGACGGGAGGCGAACCCGCUGAACUGAAACAUCUAAGUAAGCGGAGGAAUAGAAAACAAUAGUGAUUCCCUAAGUAGUGGCGAGCGAACGGGGAGAAGCCCAAACCCACGAUGUUACGGCAUUUUGGGGGUUGUAGGACUGCGAGGUUGUAUUUUAUCAUUAUAGCAGAACACAGCUGGAAAGCUGGACCGAAGGAGGUGAUAGUCCUGUAGGCGAAAUGGUGGUAGAAGCAUAGCAGACUCCUGAGUAAGGCGGGACCGGAGGAAUCCUGUCUGAAACAGCCGGCACCAUCCGGCAAGGCUAAAUACUACUGAGAGACCGAUAGUGGACCAGUACCGUGAGGGAAAGGUGAAAAGAACCGCGGACAGCGGAGUGAAAUAGACCCUGAAACCAUACGCUUACAAGCGGUCGGAGUCUUGUUUUUUGACGAGAUGACGGCGUGCCUUUUGCAUAAUGAGCCUACGAGUUACUCCUCACUGGCGAGGUUAAUCCCGUUGACGGGAGCAGCCGAAGCGAAAGCGAGUCUGAACAGGGCGAUUUUAUAGUCAGUGGGGGUAGACGCGAAACUUUGUGAUCUACCCAUGGCCAGGUUGAAGUUCCGGUAACACGGAAUGGAGGACCGAACCGGUUGUCGUUGAAAAGGCUUCGGAUGAGCUGUGGGUAGGGGUGAAAGGCUAAUCAAACUGAGAGAUAGCUCGUACUCCCCGAAAUGCCUUUAGGGGCAGCCUUAUAUUAAGUGUCAUAGAGGUAGAGCUACUGAUUGGGCUAGGGGGCUUCACCGCCUACCAAACCCUGACAAACUCCGAAUGCUAUGACAUGUUUUAUAGGAGUGAGGGCGUGGGUGCUAAGGUCCACGCCCGAGAGGGAAAGAACCCAGACCAUCGGCUAAGGUCCCCAAAUAUAUGCUAAGUUGAACAAACGCGGUCUGAUUGCCUAGACAGCUAGGAUGUUGGCUUGGAAGCAGCCAUUCAUUUAAAGAGUGCGUAACA
rnacentral:rRNA from 1 species